GCUAUUGGCAGUUUGAUGCUGAUUGACAUCUCAUUUCACCUCUUGUUGAAAGAAGCAUUUAUUUUGACAUUUGGCGGCACAUAAUUCAAAUCGAGGAUGAGUAAAAUAGAAAAUUAACGUUGGUUGCGAUAUACAAAAGAAGAAAAUAAUAUUUCCACAGCUCCACGAGCUAUUUUCGAAAGCAUCAUAAUUAAAGACCAAUUAAACAUGAAAAGAAAGGGAGAGAUAUCAGACUUCAUUUUUACAGAAGCACAAACAGGCAGAUAAGGUUCAAACAGACCCCAGCCCUUGCAUCACUACUGGACCCAGAGCAGCCCCCUCCCUGAGGCUCGUCAGAGUCAGUGUGGUCAGACUUCACAAGGACCCAGUCAACCACCAGCAGAUGUAUCAAGGGAUGACACAGAGACCUCUGGCUCUGAGCAAGACAGUGAGCCAGAGCUGCCAGGAGAUGUCAUCGAGCCCCUCCCAACUGCAUCAAGCCCCAGAUAUGCUGUUCCAAAAGGACCCAAUGACAUUUCAAGAUCCAGAGAAGAGGGUUCUGUACAGACGUGUUUGAAAUCAUUUCCCAGAACUCGGCAUGGUACUAGGAGAAGGGCUUUCAACAGCUCCUGGUAUAAAGGACAAUUCAUGGCUUUAAUAUUCUGUCAGUCAAGAUUCAACUUAUUGUUUCGCCUGUAUGCAUUUUUCUCUGCCCAAUACACCUGAAUUUGCUUUCACAUCACAUUCAGGUUUUUGUAACAGGAAAAAGGCGCUGUUUAAAGAUUCUGGGUUUAAGCUCCAUUUGCAGGCAGAGCAUCAUAUCAAUGCUAUGUAUGCUUGGAAUCAGCAUAAAAUGGCUAUUGACAGCAACUCAUCAAUGUUAGAUGUCAUAAAUGAGGACCGGAAUAAGAAAGUGGAGGAAAACUGUACUUACAUUAUCCCAAUUUCAGAUGUGCUUCUAUUAACUGUCACUCAGUAUACCGCAGAGAGGUCAUCGAGAGUCAAAUCAAAUUUAAUCAAAUUUAUUUAUAUAGCCCUUCGUACAUCAGCUGAUAUCUCAAAGUGCUGUACAGAAACCCAGCCUAAAACCCCAAACAGCAAGCAAUGCAGGUGUAGAUGCACGGUGGUUAGGAAAAACUCCCUAGAAAGGCCAAAACCUAGGAAGAAACCUAGAGAGGAACCAGGCUGACUCUCACAGUCUGCUGACUCUCACAACAAGGGCCAUUUUUUUGACAAUCUUAAAAGAAAUAGCAAAGCAUGACCCUCUCAUAGAGAAAAAGAUGAAUGCAUGUGGCAAUGCUAAAUACACAAGCCACCAAAUCCAGAACAAAGUUCCUGAGGGCUUAGCUGAGAUGGUACAAAGUGAAAUAAUGAGAGAAGUAAAAGAGAAGUUUUUAGUGUAAUUGCAGAUUUUAACGAAACAAUAACAAAUUACUUUAUUUGUGAGGUACUAUUACUACGGGGCCGUCCACAAAAGCUUUUAACACUUUCAGUCAGCUGAAAGCUUAGAUGCAGCAGGUCUCACAAAAAUAAUUGAUUGCCUUGAAAACGGUCUGGACUACAGAAAUAAUCUUAUGAGAGGAAAGCAUUCUGUUGUGUGUGUGCACGGAUUAAAAAGAGUGUAAGAUUUGCAUUUUAUGUGCACUCUAAUGCACAUUGUUUGAAUUUGGUUCUUGUUGAUGCUGUAAAAUCAGUACCUGAGGCAUUUAA